rnacentral:rRNA from 1 species
AACGCGAAGAACCUUACCUGGGCUCGAAAUGUAGUGGAAUCGGGUGGAAACAUCCGCGUCUCGCAAGAGACUGCUAUAUAGGUGCUGCAUGGCUGUCGUCAGCUCGUGUCGUGAGAUGUUGGGUUAAGUCCCGCAACGAGCGCAACCCUUAUCCCUAGUUGCCAUCGGGUCAAGCCGGGCACUCUAGUGAAACCGCCUGGGAUAACCAGGAGGAAGGUGGGGAUGACGUCAAGUCCUCAUGGCCUUUAUGUCCAGGGCUACACACGUGCUACAAUGGUCGGUACAAACCGUCGCAAACCCGCGAGGGGGAGCUAAUCGGAAAAAGCCGGCCUCAGUUCGGAUUGGAGUCUGCAACCCGACUCCAUGAAGCUGGAAUCGCUAGUAAUCGCGGAUCAGAACGCCGCGGUGAAUACGUUCCCGGGCCUUGUA